GAGUAAUUCAGGAAAUGUUCUCAGCGCAACCUAAUUCCCACACGCACGAUGAAACACAGGAGGAUUUUGCAGAUAGAUAUUUAAUAUACAAAUAGUCAAGAGGAGCCGUUCCACUGCGUUUGAUUUCGAGGAUCCAGCUAGUUAACAUGUGAGCACCGUUGCCAAGAAACGUGGUAGUGCUCUUUCUCUCUCCAGAUCUGCCGAAGAUAAUUGUCUUUUAAAGGAGAACGCCCUGGAAUGAUUUCCGCUCAGAGAAAAGAUUGUAGCACCUUGAGAUCCCUCUCUGUCGAAGGUUCCUGACACCAGUUUGGUGGGGACGAUGAUGGAACCGUUAACACAGAGAAAGCAGACCUACGGAGAACCAUCCCCAGACGCACGAGACAACCAGCAAGGAGCAAUGAAAAUUAUAAUGACUCUGGCUUACUCUCAACCGUGCAAAAAGCAAAGCAAAAAUCACUCUGAUGACCAGAGGCAAAAGUAUCACUCUCGCGGGCUCAAGAAGAGCUGCAGAAUUUGGCCGGAAAUCUUAUAUGCGAGAAGAUACUGAAGCUAGGAAAUUUUUGUUUUACCUGUUAAAUCCUUACCCUGGUCUUCUGUGUGCCAAAAUUCAUGUUGUGGGGAGUGUGUGUGUGUGUGUGUGUAUGUGUGUGUAAGUCUGUGUGUAUCUAUAAUAAAGAGAAUAAAAAUUGUUUCUUAGUUCUUUUU
rnacentral:lncRNA from 1 species